GUCAGCGCAGGAACAGAGAGUGAAAUGUUAUUAAUCUGACGAGUCUGAGCCACGAGUUUACUGACGAGCGUCUGAAACGUGCGGGAGAACCUCGCUUUUAGCAAGUGCAGCUGGAGCCUCUCUAAAUUCCCUCUGCUUUCCCUCUUUCCUGACUGCUUGCUUUAUCUGCUCCCUCUAGAGGAAUGGGUGUGAAGGUGCUCCUGUGCUUCCCCUUCUACAGGCGCUGCAAAGACAAAUGCAAGAGCAGACACUGCCCUCCUGAAACAGAAGUCGAAUCACCAAGUGAAGAACCGAAGCAACGUCUCUCCUCCACAACAUCCACAAGCAGUGAGGGCGACAGCGGGAGCAGCCUGGGCGGCCCUCAGGUGUACUAUUCCCAGAAGGCCCGGGUCUCGUUCAGACACCAGAUGGACAGCAACAUCCACGCAGUGGACGCUACAUAUUAACUCCUACGUGUUGCCAAGAUACUGAACAUGACCCCUGACCCCUGAGUUGUGAACUGUAAGGAGUGACUGUAAGGGGGGCGUCAUCACCGGUGAUGGAGGAUGGAACUAAACAAACUACAGUGUUUCAUAACCACUCGAAUGACGAUGAUCAUAGAAACAGGCAUACAGUAUGUUUACAACAUGAAUAUGUGUGUGUCCGAGUAGCAGAGCUA
rnacentral:lncRNA from 1 species